rnacentral:rRNA from 1 species
GAUGAACGCUGGCGGCGUGCCUAAUACAUGCAAGACGAGCGAACAGACGAGGAGCUUGCUCCUCUGACGUUAGCGGCGGACGGGUGAGUAACACGUGGAUAACCUACCUAUAAGACUGGGAUAACUUCGGGAAACCGGAGCUAAUACCGGAUAAUAUAUUGAACCGCAUGGUUCAAUAGUGAAAGACGGUUUUGCUGUCACUUAUAGAUGGAUCCGCGCCGCAUUAGCUAGUUGGUAAGGUAACGGCUUACCAAGGCGACGAUGCGUAGCCGACCUGAGAUGGUGAUCGGCCACACUGGAACUGAGACACGGUCCAGACUCCUACGGGAGGCAGCAGUAGGGAAUCUUCCGCAAAGGGCGAAAGCCUGACGGAGCAACGCCGCGUGAGUGAUGAAGGUCUUCGGAUCGUAAAACUCUGUUAUUAGGGAAGAACAAAUGUGUAAGUAACUAUGCACGUCUUGACGGUACCUAAUCAGAAAGCCACGGCUAACUACGUG